GCCAGGCAUGGUGGUGCAUGUCUGUAAUCCCAGCUACUAGGAGGCUGAGUCAGUAGAAUGGCUUGAACCUGGGAGGUGGAGGUUUUAGUGAGCUGAGGUCACACCACUGCACUCCAGCCUGGGUGACAGAGUGAGACUCUGNNNNNNNNNNNNCAGAGUCUCACUCUGUCGCCCAGGCUGGAGUGCAGUGGCCGGAUCUCAGCUCACUGCAAGCUCCGCCUCCCGGGUUUACACCAUUCUCCUGCCUCAG
rnacentral:SRP_RNA from 1 species